rnacentral:rRNA from 1 species
UGAGGAAUAUUGCGCAAUGGACGAAAGUCUGACGCAGCGACGCCGCGUGGAGGAUGAAGGUCUUCGGAUUGUAAACUUCUGUUAAGUGGGAAGAAAAGCGUAGUUAUAAUACAGCUACGUAAUGACGGUACCACUAGAGAAAGCACCGGCUAAUCUCGUGCCAGCAGCCGCGGUAAUACGAGAGGUGCAAACGUUAUUCGGAUUUAUUGGGCGUAAAGGGUGCGUAGGUGGCAUGAUAAGUUUGUUGUUAAAUUUCCUGGCCUAACUGGGAAUCAGCGGCGAAAACUGUCAGGCUAGAGGAUGAAAGAGAGAAGUGGAAUUCUUGGAGUAGCGGUAAAAUGCGUAGAUCUCAAGAGGAACACCGAUGGCGAAGGCAGCUUCUUGGUUCACUCCUGACACUGAGGCACGAAAGCGUGGGGAGCAAACAGGAUUAGAUACCCCGGUAGUCC